GACGAACGCUGGCGGCGUGCUUAACACAUGCAAGUCGAACGGAAAGGCCCUGCUUGCAGGGUACUCGAGUGGCGAACGGGUGAGUAACACGUGGGUGAUCUGCCCUGCACUUCGGGAUAAGCCUGGGAAACUGGGUCUAAUACCGGAUAGGAGCCAUUUUUAGUGUGAUGGUUGGAAAGUUUUUUCGGUGUAGGAUGAGCUCGCGGCCUAUCAGCUUGUUGGUGGGGUAAUGGCCUACCAAGGCGGCGACGGGUAGCCGGCCUGAGAGGGUGGACGGCCACAUUGGGACUGAGAGACGGCCCAGACUCCUACGGGAGGCAGCAGGGGGGAAGAUUGCACAAUGGGCGCAAGCCUGAUGCAGCGACGCCGCGUGGGGGAUGACGGCCUUCGGGUUGUAAACUCCUUUCGCUAGGGACGAAGCUUUUUGUGACGGUACCUAGAUAAGAAGCACCGGCUAACUACGUG
rnacentral:rRNA from 1 species